rnacentral:rRNA from 1 species
GAUGAACGCUGGCGGCGUGCCUAAUACAUGCAAGUCGAGCGAACGGACGAGAAGCUUGCUUCUCUGAUGUUAGCGGCGGACGGGUGAGUAACACGUGGAUAACCUACCUAUAAGACUGGGAUAACUUCGGGAAACCGGAGCUAAUACCGGAUGAUAUUUUGAACCGCAUGGUUCAAAAGUGAAAGACGGUCUUGCUGUCACUUAUAGAUGGAUCCGCGCUGCAUUAGCUAGUUGGUAAGGUAACGGCUUACCAAGGCAACGAUGCAUAGCCGACCUGAGAGGGUGAUCAGCCACACUGGAACUGAGACACGGUCCAGACUCCUACGGGAGGCAGCAGUAGGGAAUCUUACGCAAUGGGCGAAAGCCUGACGGAGCAACGCCGCGUGAGUGAUGAAGGUCUUCGGAUCGUAAAACUCUGUUAUUAGGGAAGAACAUAUGUGUAAGUAACUGUGCACAUCUUGACGGUACCUAAUCAGAAAGCCACGGCUAACUACGUG